CUGUCUCUUGCUUCAACAGUGCUUGGAUGCAACAG
rfam:TPA: Bos taurus chromosome 7, whole genome shotgun sequence.